rnacentral:lncRNA from 1 species
GCCCACUGCUGUCUUGAGAGAGCCAGAUGUAGUCAACACAGAUCUUAUAUUCAUCUCAAAUAUCUUCUCUAGAAUAAGACUGCAGCUUAUUCCGGAAGAGAAAGGAAUCUGAGUAGAUGACAGAGCAGUGCUGCCCUCUGAAUGCAGUGGGCAUUGUUUACACCAAAAUACGCUGGGAAGAUGGUUAUGAACUAUUUCCACUUCUUACCACUGCUCCCCCAGGAAUGGAUGGCUUACAAACAGGAAAAGAAUGAGUCAUUUCAACCCAGGUUGGCAAACACAAGGCUGAGAGAAAAGUGACAGGAUCACAACUGAGAGGAGAACGCUUGCAGGAAGAGAAAUGUCUAAAUGGAAGAGGAGAAGCUAGAGGCAGAAUAGUAGUUAGGAGGUUAGUCCCGGUCCAAAUAAUGGAUAUUAAAGGCAAUGGCAGUGAAAGAGUCAAUCUGAAGAACUUAGGAAGUUGAAAUGAAAAUACAUAAUAAUAUCUAGUGAGGGGACAAUAGUGAAGCACUAUGUCAAAUAUAAUGCUUUUGCUUGGGUAUAAAGAGGGAUAACUUGUUUUGGUGCUGUGGUCUUCUUUUCCUCUCUUUUGUUGUCCUCCUCCUCUACCUUUUCUUCCUCCUCAAGUUCCUCCCAUUUCUUCUUCUUCAUUGAUUCUUAGGUCCACAUAUUUGAAUGGCAAAAUUGC